GAUGAACGCUGGCGGCGUGCUUAACACAUGCAAGUCGAACGAUGAUGCCCAGCUUGCUGGGUGGAUUAGUGGCGAACGGGUGAGUAACACGUGAGUAACCUGCCCUUGACUCUGGGAUAAGCCUGGGAAACUGGGUCUAAUACCGGAUACGACCAUCUGGCGCAUGUCAUGGUGGUGGAAAGCUUUUGUGGUUUUGGAUGGACUCGCGGCCUAUCAGCUUGUUGGGGGGGUAAUGGCCUACCAAGGCGACGACGGGUAGCCGGCCUGAGGGGGUGACCGGCCACACUGGGACUGAGACACGGCCCAGACUCCUACGGGAGGCAGCAGUGGGGAAUAUUGCACAAUGGGCGCAAGCCUGAUGCAGCGACGCCGCGUGAGGGAUGACGGCCUUCGGGUUGUAAACCUCUUUCAGUAGGGAAGAAGCGAAAGUGACGGUACCUGCAGAAGAAGCGCCGGCUAACUACGUG
rnacentral:rRNA from 1 species